rnacentral:rRNA from 13 species
GAAUGGGGACGCAUUGAAUUGCGAAAAAUCACAGUAAAGGCUUCCAUACCUGAUUGAUAAGUGAGUUUCCCUGCGAAAACGCAAAAUAGAGGGUCUGUGACCUAAUCUAAAAAACUUAGUGAACUGAAACAUCUUAGUAACUAAAGGAAAAAAAAUCAACCGAGACUCCGUGAGUAGUAGCGAGCGAAAAUGGAAUAGAAUUGUUUUCUCUGUAUGAAGAUUUGUCCAUGCUGACCGAAUUUUAGCCAAAGAAGGUGUUAGCCCUGUAAUUCAGUUAGAUUAAUUUUUUGAGAAAAAGCAAAGUAGAAGUUUGCGCUUUGAAAGGGGGUACCACCCUCCAAUUCUAAGUAUCUUUUAUGAUCGAUAGAGAAAAGUACUGUGAAGGAAAGAUGAAAAGAACCCUAAGAAAGGGAGUGAAAAGAUUUGAAAUCUAAAGGAAAAAAUCAGUUGAACACUGAAAAGUGAACAACGUACCUUUUGCAUAAUGGGUCAGCGAGUAAAUAGUAAUAGCAAGCUUAAUUCAUAAGAAGGAGGCGUAGAGAAAUCGUUUUUUAGUUUUUACUAUUUGACCCGAAAGUGAGUGAUCUAGCUUUGAGCAGGUUGCAAAAAGAGUAAUAUCUUUUGAAGGACCGAACCCGUGUAUGUUGCAAAAUACUGGGAAGACUUGAGGCUAGGGGUGAAAGGCCAAUCAAACUCACAGAUAGCUGGUUUUUUGCGAAAUCUAUCUAAGUAGAGCAUAAUCUAGAGCCUUUAGAAGGUAGAGCACUCGAUGGGUUAGGGUGGCCCAAAGCCUUACCGAUCCCAAGGAAACUCCGAAUUUCUAACGGUAUACAGAUUAUAGACAGGCUUUGGGUGCUAAGGUCCAAAGCCAAAAGGGAAACAGCCCAGAUUGUUUUCUAAGGUCCUUAAGCAAUCUUUUAGUGAGAAAGAAAGUUUUUUUGCGAAAACAACCAGGAGGUGAGCUUGGAAGCAGCUAUCCUUGAAAGAAAUCGUAACAGAUCACUGGUCUAGCGAAAAAGCGUCGAAAAUGAAACGGGACUGAAAAGAUUCACCGAAGAAACAAAUUUCAUUUUGAUAAUGAAGUGGUAGCAAAACAUUCUGUAAAUCAUUGAGACUCGAAUGUGAAUUCGAAAGAGAGAUCAGAAGUGAGAAUGCUGACAUGAGUAGCGUAAAAUCAUGUGAAAUUCAUGAUCGCCAAAAGUUUAAGGGUUUCUGCGCACUGGAGAUCAACGCAGAGUCAGUCGGCCCCUAAGAUGAAACCGAAAGGCUAAAUCAUCGAUGGGUAGUUGAUAA